GUGCCAGCCGCCGCGGUAAUACGUAGGGGGCAAGCGUUAUCCGGAUUUACUGGGUGUAAAGGGAGCGUAGACGGCGAUGCAAGUCUGGAGUGAAAGCCCGGGGCUCAACCCCGGGACUGCUUUGGAAACUGUGUUGCUAGAGUGCAGGAGAGGUAAGUGGAAUUCCAUGUGUAGCGGUGAAAUGCGUAGAUAUAUGGAGGAACACCGGUGGCGAAAGCGGCUCUCUGGCCUGUAACUGACACUGAGGCUCGAAAGCGUGGGGAGCAAACAGGAUUAGAUACCCUGGUAGUCCACGCCGUAAACGAUGAGUGCUAGAUGUAGGGAGCUAUAAGUUCUCUGUAUCGCAGCUAACGCAAUAAGCACUCCGCCUGGGAGUACGACCGCAAGGUUGAAACUCAAAGGAAUUGACGGGGCCCG
rnacentral:rRNA from 1 species